GAUGAACGCUGGCGGCGUGCCUAAUACAUGCAAGUCGAGCGAACGGACGAGAAGCUUGCUUUUCUGAUGUUAGCGGCGGACGGGUGAGUAACACGUGGAUAACCUACCUAUAAGACUGGGAUAACUUCGGGAAACCGGAGCUAAUACCGUAUAAUAUUUUGAACCGCAUGGUUCAAAGGUGAAAGACGGUCUUGCUGUCACUUAUAGAUGGAUCCGCGCUGCAUUAGCUAGUUGUUAAGGUAACGGCUUACGAAGGCAACGAUGCAUAGCCGACCUGAGAGGGUGAUCGGCCACACUGGAACUGAGACACGGUCAAGACUCCUACGGGAGGCAGCAGUAGGGAAUCUUACGCAAUGGGCGAAAGCCUGACGGAGCAACGCCGCGUGAGUGAUGAAGGUCUUCGGAUCGUAAAACUCUGUUAUUAGGGAAGAACAUAUGUGUAAGUAAAUGUGCACAUCGUGACGGUACCUAAUAAGAAAGCCACGGCUAACAACGUG
rnacentral:rRNA from 1 species